CGGCCGCGGUAUUUUGACCGCGCAAAGGUAGCGCAAUCACUUGUCUUCUAAAUAAAGACCUGUAUGAACGGCUAAACGAGGGCUUAACUGUCUCCCAUUUCCAGUCAGUGAAGUUGAUCUGCCCGUGCAGAAGCGGACAUAAAAAUACAAGACGAGAAGACCCUUUGGAGCUUGAGGUACAAAAUACAGCCACGUCAAACAACUCACUAAAAGCAAGAACUUUGUGGAAAAUGUAGUUUUACCUUCGGUUGGGGCGACCAUGGGGGAAAAACAAGCCUCCAAGUGGACUGGGACAAACUCCCCUAAAACCAAGAGAGACAUCUCUAAGCCACAGAACAUCUGACCAAACAUGAUCCGGCCACUAAAGCCGAUUAGCGGACAAAGUUACCCUAGGGAUAACAGCGCAAUCCUCUCCCAGAGUCCAUAUCGACGAGGGGGUUUACGACCUCGAUGUUGGAUCAGGACACCCUAAUGGUGCAGCCGCUAUUAAAGGUU
rnacentral:rRNA from 1 species